UUUAGAGAAAAUGUUAUUUAGAUUGAUUUAAAUUAUGUACAUUGUGACAUUUAACUCCAUUGGACACCUAGUUUUAGCUCCGAGAAAUGCUUCCUCAUACUGACAGUGACAAACACACUUGCAGAUCUGAUGUUGCUCAUCUGCCACACCUUAAAUCUACUACGGAACAAGAUUUUUCUAUUCACAAGUCAGGAAACAAUUCAAAGGUAUUUAAAUCUUACAUCCUGAGAGCGCUUACAGUUGACACAUAAUUGCUUUAUGAGUGUUUGCAUACAUCUCACUGGAAUCUCAAAAACGACCCACUUACUCCUUAAGGUGGGAAGUGCGGAUCGGUACAUAUAGUCUGAAAUGCUUUGCCUUUACAUUUAAGAAUCUCUAGUGUAUACUUUUCAGAAUAGAAACAUAAGAGAAAUAGUCUUAUACAUACAUUCGUUCAAGUAUGUAUUCUACAUUCAUGCAGGACUAUCGGCCUCAAAUUUAAAAGCUGGUUCUGGAGAUGAACUGUUUUAGGCAUUGGUUUGGUGAGUCAUGAGAUUCUUUUGGGCUCAGUUUUGGAUCUAUAGACCCUGAAGGCCACAAUAUCAUUUGACCUUUGUUCGUGCUUCUCAAUACCGAACCUUGUAACAUUCUGCGUGCUUUGGGAUAAAUGAAUUUAAUUAAACAGUUAAAUAUUACAUUUACAAUUUUUUACAUAUGACUCUGGAGAGAACUCCCUCCGCCAACUGCUAAAGAGCCCGCCUUCCCGAUUCUGGAGGACAGGCAGGUUUCCCAAAGGGCUCUACCGUGGGGGUUAGUGACUGAAGUGGACUGGUCAAUCGGAAAGUCCUUUUCCCCUUGCUACGAGCUCGAGCUCGGAGAAAGCUCAGCACCCACAGGGCGUCAGACAAACAACCCACCACCCCAGGCUCUCAGGCCCCGCUGAGCCUCACGGUCCGCCCAGGGACAAUCGCGCCCAGCUCUGCCGCUGAACCCAUGCAAGGCCUGGCUGGGCUGACGUAGGCUCCAGGCGAGAAAUUAUUUCACAACUGUCAAGAGGAAAGCGCGCGCCCACUCCGUCAUUUCUAGGAAGGCCGGGGCCUGCCAGGCUCCGGGGGCGGACGGGAAGGACCGCACACUCCCCAAAACAACUGCAAACCCAGGGACAACCCGCGCACGCGCAACGCUCUCUUGUGCCUGAGGUUGAGCGGCUCCCUCCGCCAGCUGCCGGAUCUAACUUGUGGGCCUUCGGCGCGCCGACUUCCGCGCCUGAGCGGCCGUGACGUAGCCGGUCUCCUCCUCUCGUCCUCCCGCGGCGCCGGUCUCUUGUGACGUCAGCAGCAGAAUCCUCUCAGUCGUUAUAGUGCUAAGUGAGGGGCGGGCCGGAUGGGCUGGUUGCCUGCUCCUCCCCCAACCUGAACUUGUUUUGUAAAGGAAACCUCUUGUAAUUUCCUAAGACUUUAGAUUGAGUCUUUAAACUGUUCCCGUUUCCUAAUAAGGGAGAAAACGGCCCUCACCCUAGUUCCAGCUCCUUCCAAGCUGAGAGUUCUGUUAGAAUGGUCUGCAAACAAAACCCACAAUAUCUCUGAGGUACAGCUGGAGGAGUCUGGACUGACUUGCCAAGAUGGGGCCUGGUGUGCUGCUGUGGUAUCCUCUGAUCACCUAGAAGAACCUUGAAGGUAGAGAAUCGUUCUUCCUCCUCAACAGUUGGCAUAGCCAGCAGGAUAAACUUUAGCUGGCUGGACACUGCUGCGGCUGAGAGAUUAUGGGACAUCUGACAAAAGCUGGCACGAGGGAAGAAUCCCCGUCACCACAUCAGCCAACUGGAUCUCUGCCUGCCAGGUCUCGUGCAAGUGAGAGUGAUGACACAAUUGGAAACAUGGGCUAUAUCAUCAAGGCUUUGACGGGGAUGUCAUAUUUGAGGGAAACAUGCAUAGACUCAGAUAUGACCAAAUAGCUUUAAGGAACUGAAGUUGACUUAAUGGAGCUAAUAAAGCCCAUUGCAAAUAUCAGCCUGACACCUUGCUUACAGAGUAACCGGCAGCCUUACAAGAAUCAUUGAGAAUUAAAACAGACUUCUCUCCCUGAAGCCCUGCAUACUAAAUAUGAAUGACUUGAUAUAAACUUCAGGAAAAUCAGCACAAUAGAUAACAUAAAGGGUUUUGGUGUGGCAGGAGUUCAACAGGCCUGGAGUGCCCCAGCCGCCCAAGACUGGCUGAUAAGGUGCAGACUGUGCAUGCUCAGGAGGCAGCGCUGGAGGAAUAUGGACCACCUUACGAGGGCUAAAUUGGGUGGUUUGCUAAGGAACUUCAAUAAGAGAUGCCUGGGACCCCAGCAAACAUCUUCUUGAGUCUGAAACUUCCCAGAGGAUCUUUGGAAGAUUUCAAGGGUUUGUUCUUCUCAUAAAAGAGAGAUGUUAAAGGCAGCAACCUCUUUGACCUUGGCUGCAGCAACUUCUUACUUGACAUGUCUCUGAAGGCAAGGGAAAUAAAA